rnacentral:rRNA from 1 species
UAAUACGUAGGGGGCGAGCGUUGUCCGAAGUUACUGGGCGUAAAGCGCGCGUAGGCGGUCUAUUAAGUCUGAGGUGAAAGGUUCAACGCUCAACGUGAACAGUGCCUUGGAUACUGGUAGACUUGAGUGUGGCAGAGGAGUAUGGAAUUCCUGGUGUAGCGGUGAAAUGCGUAGAUAUCAGGAGGAAUACCGAUGGCGAAGGCAGUACUCUGGGCUAACACUGACGCUGAGGUGCGAAAGCGUGGGGAGCAAACGGGAUUAGAUACCCCGGUAGUCCACGCCGUAAACGAUGAGUGCUAGGUGUAGGAGGUAUCGACCCCUCCUGUGCCGUCGCUAACGCAUUAAGCACUCCGCCUGGGGAGUACGGCCGCAAGGUUG